rnacentral:rRNA from 1 species
UACAGAGGGGGCAAGCGUUGUUCGGAAUUACUGGGCGUAAAGGGCGCGUAGGCGGCCUGUUAAGUCGAACGUGAAAUCCCCGGGCUCAACCCGGGAACUGCGUCCGAUACUGGCAGGCUUGAAUCCGGGAGAGGGAUGCGGAAUUCCAGGUGUAGCGGUGAAAUGCGUAGAGAUGUGGAGGAACACCAGCGGCGAAGGCGGCUUUUUGGUCUGUAACUGACGCUGAGGCGCGAAAGCGUGGGGAGCAAACAGG